GGGGAGGCCAUUUGCUGCCUGACUCAAAGAGUGGGCAUGUUUUGCAGAAGCUGUAUUUACCAGCAAUCACCUCGAAAAGGUGAUUUGAGUUGAACUGGAGUUGCAUGCGUUAUGCUGCAAUUUUAAUUUGCUUUUCUUCUUAACAGGCACUGCUUGCAUACAGGCGUCUUUGCAGCUGAUUCCUGGGGGAAGAAAUUAGUUUAUAAUACACUUGUUAAAAUGGAGAGGACCACUCCUAGCAUGCUUACAGAUUGGGGCUGAUCAGCUUUCUAAGGAAAGGAAUGUCUCGUACAAGGUCAGCAUUUACAGUUACAGCUCAGCGAUGACAAGAAGAGUAGCUGGAUUCAAGUAUUUGAGCUUUCUGUUGAAGCUAUACAAUGAGAGAAGAACAACAAAUGAACCUGCGAUGCUAAAACGAAGAAAGACCUUGUGGUUUUUAUUCUGCUCAGUUAGACCUCUUUUAUCUGAAUAUGUGUUGUUCAAGCUUUUAGGAAAGCUUUGAUUUCUCAAGGAUCAAACUUCAAGAGAGAGUUUUAAAAUGUAUUUGGGCACCAUAUA